rnacentral:rRNA from 2 species
ACGGAACGGGCCCCUCCGACCCGUCUAGUAACACGGACCAAGGAGUCUGACACGUGUGCGAGUACCCGGGUGGCAAGCCCGCGUGCGGAAUGAAAGUGAAGGGCAUGCCCUGCCAACCGACCUUGACCUGCUGUGAGGGGUUUGAGUGGAGCACACCUGUCGGGACCCGAAAGAUGGUGAACUAUGCCUGGGUAGGGUGAAGCCAGAGGAAACUCUGGUGGAGGCUCGUAGCGAUACUGACGUGCAAAUCGUUCGUCGAAUCUGGGUAUAGGGGCGAAAGACUAAUCGAACCAUCUAGUAGCUGGUUCCCUCCGAAGUUUCCCACAGGAUAGCUUGAACGCAACGGUUUUGUCAGGUAAAGCGAAUGAUUAGAGGCCUGUGGGCUGAAACAGCUUGCACCUAUUCUCAAACUUUAAAUGGGCAAGAGGCCCGGGAUGCUUGAGUGAUCCCGGGCGGCGAACGGCGCGUUCAAAGUGGGCCAUUUUUGGUAAGCAGAACUGGCGAUGCGGGAUGAACCGAACGCCGCGCUAAGGUACCCAAGUGUCCGCUCAUCAGAUACCACAAAAGGCGUUGGUACCUCCAGACAGCAGGACGGUGGCCAUGGAAGUCGGAACCCGCUAAGGAGUGUGUAACAACUCACCUGCCGAAGGUACUAGCCCUGAAAAUGGAUGGCGCUCAAGCGGACCACCGAUGCGCGGCCGCCGGCGCGAGCGCGAGGCGCCGGCGAGUAGGAGGGCGCGGGGCUCGCGGCGCAGCCUUGGGCGCGAGCCUGGGUGAAGCGGGCCCCGGUGCAGAUCUUGGUGGUAGUAGCAAAUAUUCAAAUGAGAACUUUGAAGACUGAAGUGGAGAAAGGUUCCGUGUGAACAGCAGUUGGACACGGGUGAGCCGACCCUAAGAGACAGGAAAACUCCGCCGAACGCGGCUGGUUCUGUCAGCCCGUCCGUCGAAAGGGAAUCGGGUUAAUAUUCCCGAGCCAGCGCGUGGAUGGUGGGCGGCGACGCGAACGAACCCGGAGACGCCGGCGGGAGCCCUGGGAAGAGUUCUCUUUUCUUCUUAACUGCCUCCUGCCCUGGAAUCGGUUUAGCCGGAGCGAGGGCUACACGGCAGGCAAAGCACCCUAAGUCUUGGGGUGUCCGGCGCGCUCCCGACGGCCCGUGAAAAUCCGGGGGAGCGGUUCGUUCUCACGCCUGGUCGUACUCAUAACCGCAUCAGGUCUCCAAGGUGAACAGCCUCUAGUCGAUAGAGCAAUGUAGGUAAGGGAAGUCGGCAAAAUGGUUCCGCAACCUCGGGAGAAGGAAUGGCUCUGAAGGCUGGGCGCAGGGGUCCUAGGCUCGAGGCCGGCUGGCUGCGCGGGGACUACGGCCUCACGGCUGCGGAUCCCGCGCGGCCGUCCGGCGGACGGCCUAGGAGCGCUCCGGCUCUCCCUGCGCGACGAACAGCCGCUUCAGAACUGGCGCGGACAAGGGGAAUCCGACUGUUUAAUUAAAACAAAGCAUUGCGAUGGCCCGCGAGGGUGCUGACGCAAUGUGAUUUCUGCCCAGUGCUCUGAAUGUCAAAGUGAAGAAAUUCAACCAAGCGCGGGUAAACGGCGGGAGUAACUAUGACUCUCUUAAGGUAGCCAAAUGCCUCGUCAUCCAAUUAGUGACGCGCAUGAAUGGAUUCGUGAGAUUCCCACUGUCCCUAUCUACUGUCUAGCGAAGCCACAGCCAAGGGAACGGGCUUGGAAGAAUCAGCGGGGAAAGAAGCCCUGUUGAGCUUGACUCUAGUCUGUUACUGUGGAACGACUUGAUGGGUGUAGAAUAUGCGGGAGGGGCAACCCGACAGUGAAAUACCGCAACCGUCAACGUUGUUUUACUUACUCGGUGGCGCGGAGGGAGGCUCGCCUCACUUCUGGAUCCAAGCCGCUUCGUGCGCGCGAUCCGCGUCGGGGACACUAACAGGUGGGGAGUUUGGCUGGGGCGGCACGUCUGUUAAAAAAUAACGCAGGCGCCCGAUUUUGAGCUCAAUGAGAACAGAAAUCUCAUGUGGACCGAAAGGGGAAAAGCUCGGUUGAUUUUGAUUUUCAGUACGAAUACAAACCGCGAAAGCGUGGCCUAUCGAUCCUCUCGUCUUUGGGAAUUUCAAGCUAGAGGUGUCAGAAAAGUUACCACAGGGAUAACUGGCUUGUGGCUGCCAAGCGUUCAUAGCGACGUAGCUUUUUGAUCCUUCGAUGUCGGCUCUUCCUAUCACUGCCUCGCAGCGGGGGCCAAAUGUAGGAUUGUUCACCCACCAACAGGGAACGUGAGCUGGGUUUAGACCGUCGUGAGACAGGUUAGUUUUACCCUACUGCUGUCUGUUUUUCUACGGUAAUUUGGUUCAGUACGAGAGGAACCACCAAUUCGCAUCAUCGGUAUAGCCGCCGCCGGAAACGGCGAUGCGGCGAAGCUGCCAUGCGCCGGAUUAUAACUGAACGCCUCUAAGUUAGAAUCCAUGCCGGAAGGAAAGCCACCUACCGGCCCGGGGACGCCACGAGCAACGGUAGCACUGCCUGAGCCGCGAGCGACCACAAUUCACGGACCCGGGCCGACGAAUCCCUUGCAGACGACUUGAAUAAGGAACGGGGUAUUGUACGCGGCAGAGUGGCCUUGUUGCCACGAUCCGCUGAGAUUCAGCCUUGGUUCUGACGAUU